CAGCAGCCGCGGUAAUACGAAGGGGGCUAGCGUUGUUCGGAAUUACUGGGCGUAAAGGGCGCGUAGGCGGCCGAUCAAGUCAGAUGUGAAAGUCCUGGGCUUAACCUGGGGACUGCAUUUGAUACUGAUUGGCUUGAAUUCGGGAGAGGAUAGCGGAAUUCCCAGUGUAGAGGUGAAAUUCGUAGAUAUUGGGAAGAACACCGGUGGCGAAGGCGGCUCUCUGGGACGGUACUGACGCUGAGACGCGAAAGCGUGGGGAGCGAACAGGAUUAGAUACCCUGGUAGUCCACGCCGUAAACGUUGGGCACUAGGUGUGGGACUCUAUCGACGGGUUCCGUGCCGUANCCAACGCAUUAAGUGCCCCGCCUGGGGAGUACGGCCGCAAGGCUGAAACUCAAAGGAAUUGACGG
rnacentral:rRNA from 1 species